rnacentral:rRNA from 1 species
CCUACGGGGGGCAGCAGUGGGGAAUAUUGCACAAUGGGGGAAACCCUGAUGCAGCGACGCCGCGUGAAGGAAGAAGUAUUUCGGGAUGUAAACUUCUAUCAGCAGGGAAGAAAAUGACGGUACCUGACGAAGAAGCCGCGGCUAACGACGGGCCAGCAGCCGCGGGAAUACGUAGGGGGCAAGCGUUAUCCGGAUUGACGGGGGGUAAAGGGAGCGUAGGCGGCGAUGCAAGUCAGAAGUGAAAGCCCGGGGCUCAACGCCGGGACUGCUUUUGAAACUGUGUUUCUAGAUUGCAGGAGCGGUAAGUGGCAUUCCUCGUGUCGCGGUGCACUGCGUAGAUAUUAGGAGGAACCCCAGUGGC